GUAAGACAGAGUCAGAUAAAAUACAAUUUAACCCAACAAUUUACAAAUGACAUACAUGUAACACAGGUUUGGAUGCCAGGCGUGUAAAGAAAAGAUACCAAGCAUUUUUAGAUAAAUCUUUUUUUAAUAAACAUAGGCAUUCACUUAUGAAGAUAGAAUUCUUACGCGAAUACCAACUGGAUAUGAGGCACUGGGUAUUUCUGCUCACCCUUUUUAUUUUGACAUUCACCCACACAAACAAACAUCGUGCACACGUGCUCAAGCAUAUGCAACCUUUCAUACUCUUUCUAUUGGGAUUUUUACGUCACGUUUGAAACGCACAUAUACAUCUAUGCUUAUUACAAAUAAGAAGUACACGCUAAGUUAUGUUUACUGAGAUCAUACUAAUACAUCACAGGGUUACAUAGGCAUAAGAUUAUUCUCUUUUACUAUUUUUUUUCGUUUCUUUCCCGACGGCAGACUACCUUCUUCCUUAUGUCGAGGUCCUUUUAGAUCUAACGAGAUUCUAUAGUCGUUCGACGCGUCUUUUUCACGCUAGGUAGGAAAAAAAAAAGAAAAGAAAAGCUAAGAUCAAAUUUGUCCAUUAUGCACAGUCUGCCGUCGAACAUCGUUUUGUUUCGAUAAUUCGUCAUAAUUUCACCUGCUUAUCCGUAUGAGUAGUCAACGAAUUGGAAGUUUUGUCGAGGAGGAAUAAAAUUUAAACGUGCUCCGUACAAAACUGUUACUUCAAUUUGAUUUCUUAUCGCGAUGCUCUCAUAGUACGAGUAUCGUAGCCAUGAAAGCGCUAUUGAAACAUCGAAUACACAGUAACCGGUAUGAAAAACGACCAUUAGAAUUCCACAACGAAUCAGUUCUACCACUCAUAGCGCACUUCGCGAGUGAACUACGAAAAAAAUAGCUUGUAACCACCAGUCGUAUUUUUGAAUUAUAAUCUCAAAGUGGGAAAAGAGUGAACGGAAAAAGUGUGCACCGGGAAUAGGAGGAUACGAUUCAAGGGGCAUACUUCACAGGAUGGCGUUAACAAAAUUAUCAUAAACAAAAAGAAAAAAAAAGAACUUGUAAUAAACAGCUACCAUUAUAAAAUCAAUGUACCAUUUAAGAUAUACAAUUACAUUU
rnacentral:misc_RNA from 1 species